rnacentral:rRNA from 1 species
AUACGUAGGUCCCGAGCGUUGUCCGGAUUUAUUGGGGCGUAAAGCGAGCGCAGGUGGUUUAAUAAGUCUGAUGUAAAAGGCAGUGGCUCAACCAUUGUGUGCAUUGGAAACUGUUAGACUUGAGUGCAGUAGAGGAGAGUGGAAUUCCAUGUGUAGCGGUGAAAUGCGUAGAUAUAUGGAGGAACACCGGUGGCGAAAGCGGCUCUCUGGACUGUCACUGACACUGAGGCUCGAAAGCGUGGGUAGC